rnacentral:rRNA from 1 species
GAGUUUGAUCCUGGCUCAGGACGAACGCUGGCGGCGUGCUUAACACAUGCAAGUCGAACGGAGACGAUCCGGUAGCAACACUGGUGAAGGCUCAGUGGCGAACGGGUGCGGAACACGUGAGCAACCUGCCCCAAAGACCGGGAUAACACCGGGAAACUGGUGCUAAUACCGGAUACCCCCACGAGCUCGCAUGGGCUUGUGAGGAAAGGGUUUCCGCUUUGGGAGGGGCUCGCGACCUAUCAGCUUGUUGGUGAGGUAACGGCUCACCAAGGCGACGACGGGUAGCUGGUCUGAGAGGACGAUCAGCCACACUGGGACUGAGACACGGCCCAGACUCCUACGGGAGGCAGCAGUGGAGAAUCUUGCGCAAUGGGCGAAAGCCUGACGCAGCAACGCCGCGUGGGGGAUGAAGGCCUUCGGGUUGUAAACCCCUUUCAGUGGGAACGAAAAUUGACGGUACCCACAGAAGAAGCCCCGGCAACUACGUGCCAGCAGCCGCGGUGAUACGUAGGGGGCGAAGCGUUGUCCGGAUUUAUUGGGCGUAAAGAGCUCGUAGGCGGCUUGGUAAGUCGGGUGUGAAACCUCCAGGCUCAACCUGGAGACGCCACUCGAUACUGCCCUGGCUAGAGUCCGGUAGGGGAUCACGGAAUUCCUGGUGUAGCGGUGAAAUGCGCAGAUAUCAGGAGGAACACCGGUGGCGAAGGCGGGUCUCUGGGCAGUAACUGACGCUGAGGAGCGAAAGCGUGGGGAGCGAACAGGAUUAGAUACCCUGGUAGUCCACGCCGUAAACGGUGGGUACUAGGUGUGGGUUUCCUUCCUUGGGAUCCGUGCCGUAGCUAACGCAUUAAGUACCCCGCCUGGGGAGUACCGCCGCAAGGCUAAAACUCAAAGAAAUUGACGGGGGCCCGCACAAGCGGCGGAGCAUGUGGAUUAAUUCGAUGCAACGCGAAGAACCUUACCUGGGUUUGACAUGCACAGGACGCGUCUAGAGAUAGGCGUUCCCUUGUGGCCUGUGUGCAGGUGGUGCAUGGCUGUCGUCAGCUCGUGUCGUGAGAUGUUGGGUUAAGUCCCGCAACGAGCGCAACCCUUGUCUCAUGUUGCCAGCACGUAAUGGUGGGGACUCGUGAGAGACUGCCGGGGUCAACUCGGAGGAAGGUGGGGAUGACGUCAAGUCAUCAUGCCCCUUAUGUUCAGGGCUUCACACAUGCUACAAUGGCCGGUACAAAGGGCUGCGAUGCCGCGAGGCUUAGCGAAUCCUUUUAAAGCCGGUCUCAGUUCGGAUCGGGGUCUGCAACUCGACCCCGUGAAGUCGGAGUCGCUAGUAAUCGCAGAUCAGCAACGCUGCGGUGAAUACGUUCCCGGGCCUUGUACACACCGCCCGUCACGUCAUGAAAGUCGGUAACACCCGAAGCCAGUGGCCUAACCCUUUUGGGAGGGAGCUGUCGAAGGUGGGAUCGGCGAUUGGGACGAAGUCGUAACAAGGUAACCGU